UUUCCUGCCUCCCUGGAGUCCAUUUUUUUGUUGUUGUCGUUUUCCUUCUGCUCCUCAGAAAAAAAGACAAGGAAUGUGAACAUCAUUCGCUGUCAUUUUUGGCAGCUGCUGGACUGGGUUAUGCUGAUGUCUAUGCCAGGCUGUUGUGCUGUCAGACUGGAAGUGCUCCAAUAUUCAGGAGUCAGGCACCCAAAACCUGGAGUUGGCAUGAAAGUCAGGAAAAUUAAACACAGACGUUUGGAGGAAUGUUUCCUUCCACUUUGUUUAUGUUGUUCUGCAGUUCUACUCCUUCACUUUGACAUUCUAACAGUUCUGCUUUCAAAUUUUUCUAUAGUAUCAAAGGCCAGGAACUCUCCUUGAGAGUGAGAAAGAUGCAGGUCUCAGACAUAAGCACUUGACUCCAGGGGCGCAGGCUUUGAGAAACCCACUAAAUAUCCAAAGGCUUUGGUUAUAAAUCACAAGUGUUGACAGCAGCUGAGGUGUGUUUUCCCUCUGGGAAGGUGGAAUUCACACCAUUCCUUUCCAUCUGGACAACUCUGUCCAUUGAAAGAAAAUGAGAAAGGAUGCAAAGGACACAUCCCACCUCCACUGGUGGCAUUGCUCCUGCCCACACUGCAGUGGCUGACUCCUUGGUUAUCGGAAUUUUGGAAUAUUCCUUGGCAUUCACUGAGCUCCUAGAACCCCAGGCAGGUGAGCCACCCCCAGCCACAGUCCUCAGCAGCCUGACUUAUUUUGGCUGGGUGUGCAAGGGUUGAAUUCCUCCUGUGAAAUUCUGAGGGUGAAUUCCUUGAGCUUGCAUGGUUCACACAGAAUUUGAAGCAGUUCCUCGUUCAGCAGGGAGCUGCUUCCCUUGGGGCAGCUUCACUGGAUGGACAGUGCUGGAUUAUUAAACUUCCUUUUAAAGGGACUCAGGGCUCCUAAUCCUCCACACAUCCUUCUUGCUGCUUAUUUAGGUGUCCUUUUGGCGUAAGAGAACCUUUACUGUGAGUGCAUUUCUUCUCAUAUUAGUAGCAACUCCAAUUUCCUGUUUGAAACCCUAAUGACACAGGUUAUAUUUCAAAUUUCAUAUUAAUGGGCUAUUGUCCUGUUCUCAAGGAUGCUGAGAGAAUUUCAUUCAUAUUUUCUGGACUGUCCUGAUUUCAUUCUACCUCCCUGGAAUCCCAACCUCCUGUUGCAGUGUCCAGAGUGGCUCAGUAAUUAAUGGGAUGGUUUUGAAUUCCCUUUCUUCAUUCCCUUUUCUUCUAGAUCCUUAUGAGUAAGGAUCUAAAAGGACCUAAAAAGAAAAAAAAAAAAAAAUCAACCCUGUGGUUACUGCAUGUUCAAGUUGUGCCCCUUGAAUCAAUUGUGCAACACCCCUGUGUUUUCUCCUACAAUUUGAAUUUCUGUUAACUGGCAGAAGUGAAUACCCUGUGCCUGCACCAAACACAGAAACAACUAGGAACACAAAACCCGCAGUUUUCUCUUUGAGAAGAGCAGGAGCCAGGUCUGGCUGCACCUGGAACAUCUGCAUUGCCCAGCAGGGCUCUCCCACCUCCCUCUGAACAGCUAAUCCUGACCCGGGAAGGAGAGAAAACUCCACCCAGGCUAAUUACCUAAUUACCGGGCCCAGGUUAAUUAACCUGUCUGGAUGGCCACACACGGCUCUGCUGCCUCGGGCUCCCUGGGAGCCCCGGGCUGUGGGGCUGCACAGCUCCUGUGGGGCUGGCUGUGCUGUCUCUGCUCUGACUGCUCUGCCAUCCCCCUGCAUGAACCUUGAAUUAAUUAACUUUCACUCUGAUUUCAUGGCUGUUUAAUGAUCUCUUUGUUAUGGGUGGAGAACUGAGGCACAGAGCAAUUAGGGACUCUGCCAAGGUCACCCAGGAAUUCUCUGGGAGAGCUGGAGAUGGAAUCCAGCAUUGCCUGCCUGUGGCUUCUCUUUGGCAGGGCUGUGGCAGGGGCCUGGGCUGGGAAGCUGCAUCCCUUGUCUGGGGUCUGUGGGGUGAUCAGCUCCCCAGAACUGUGGGUGCAUCCAGAGGCUUUUGGAUAAACCCUGGCUGUGCCACCGCAGCUCUGCUCAAAUGCAGGAACGAGAUUAAAGGUGAAGUUUCAGCCCAGAGCUCAUCCCUGGGCAGGACAGAAAAUAGAACCCACUGAGGUCUCUGGCUUUUUCCCCAGCCUGGAGAUGCUCUGUUGGCCAGAAUGUCAUUUCUGAUUUUAUUUGUGCUGUUCUCUCGUCCUUUCUCAUUAACCCCUUGUCCCGUGCGGCUGCUCAGCCCGCACAGAGCUCUGCCCUGCAGCCACCGUGGCUGCCGGGGGAAUUUCUCUGCCUCUCUGAACUGGAAUCCCCAAUAUCUGGAUCCUGCUCUUCUCUCCAGGCUCUCCUCCAGCCUUCCCUGACUUGUUGUUUACAUUUUAACUGUUUGGUGGCUCUCCUCUCUCACAGCAUCCUCCUCUCUGCCCCUGCUAACAUCCAAUAUUCCUCUUCCUGCGGUCCCACCCUGCCCUGAGGAUGGAGGUGGAGCAGGGCCAGAGCUGUGCUGCCCAGUAGACCUGGCUGUGUGUUUUGACAAGGUUUAUCCCCCAGCCUCUCCCUUGCAGAGGGUGCCAAGGUGAACCUCUGGGUUCCCUCCUUGGUGCCUCCCGCUGCUCCCAGCUCCUCCUGCCCGAGGCUGCCGCAGCCCUGGCUGCUGCCAGGCUGGGCGCUCCUCUCAGGGCUUUGCUGAUGCCUUUCUCUGCCUCUCAGUAGCUUUUGGGAACAUCUUCAUCUCCUCUCCACAGCGCUCUGUAGAUGUGAGCCCAUCCAGGAGCCAGCCCUCCCGGCACAGGGCCCUGCAGCUGCCUGGCAGGAAAGGAGAGGGAGCUACAGCGUGACCCCAGAGCUGUUCUUUGGGGUGGAAUGUGCCCUUUCGGGGGGUGUUUCCCAUUUGUGCAGCUCUGCAGGGCUCACUCCUGCCCACGGUGUCCAUGAGAGGUCCUGCAGGGCAAGGAGUGGGCACGGAGCUGGUGCCAGAGUUGCUCCAGGGGACACCGUGGGGACCAACAGCAAUCCCAGCCCCUCUGCCUGGCUUGGCUCUGCAACCCUUCCCACCCAGCCCCUGCCCUUCCUCCUGCCAGGCUCCCAGGCCAGAAAACCCUCAUUGCUUGGCUCUUCCCCCUCCUGAGCAGCACAAAUCUCUUUGUGCAGCCCAGCCAGCUCCUCUUUGUCAGGAGGAGGGACAAGCCUGGGUUAUCACCUGCUUGUGGUCUCAUCUAUCACCUUGAAUUGUGUUGCAGGAUGAAAUUACUCAUCCAAACCUAAUGUUAAAUUUAAUCAGGUCUGGAGCAAAGAGGAUUAAUGGGCUGUGCAGCACAGGCACACGUCUGGCACGGUGGCUGUGACCCAGGUGAAGUUUGAGAAGCUCGCUGGAAAUGAUGAAGCCAAUCACCAGGUGGGGAAGGCUGCAGGAGUUCCUGCAUCCCCUCUGCAGGAGUUCCUGCAUCCCUCUGCAGGAUUCCUGCAUCCCUCUGCAGGAAUGCACUGGCUGUGGGAGCACUGCUCCUGCUGCAGGUGGAGGUGGCUCCUGGUGGAGUUUCCUGAGCUGUGUAAGAAUUUCUCCAGAGGAGAGGAGUGUCUCUGCUGGGCUGGCAGCUGGCAGGGCUGGGUCCUCCUCCCUGCUCUGCUCGGUGCAAUAGUCUGGGACAGGCUCUGGGGCUUGGCUGUGGCUCCAUCUCUCGUGCUAAAGGAAAGGGAUCAUCCUGGGAUGCCCUUCAGCCUCGGAGCUGUGAGCAUUCCUGAGCUGGCAGCCUUGCUGUGCCUGCUUGGUGUCCAAAGCACUUGCCAGAAGCCAGGCCUGGUGCCCUGUUGGUGCCAUGGGGACACUGAGGCACGGGGUGACAGUGGCUGCCAGGUGCUCUGUGCCCCCUGUUCUCCCUCCCACUCAAACCCUCAGGGCACACUGCCUUAUCACCUGAUAAUGCUUGUCAAAAUCAACAGCCUCCUAAAGCCUUUCAUCAUCUCAGCAGAUGCUGUGAGGAACCUGUUUAUGAACUUCAUGGGGAAAAAAAAAAAACCCAAAAUGAGAACUGGAGCUUCCCCUAACCUGCCACUAAAGCCUCCCCAAUAAAAAAGUCAGCGUGCUUGAGGGGUGGGUGGUUCAUCCCCAAAGCAAACAGGGCAUUUCUCUGCCUCUCUCGGGUCUGGCUAAAAAAAGCAAAUAAACCCCAGAGGAAGCACGUCAUGGUGCAAAGCAGAACCAGAUGGUGCCGUGAGAGCGUGGGAGGGACGGGGGCUUUCUCUGAACAGAGGGUGCCUGUGAGGGAGGAAAAUACUGAGCAAGGCAGCAGAGAGAACUCUUGUUUGGGUGACGGUUGGGGUUGCCCCAGCCCUGGCUGAGAUCCUCCCUGGGGGAAGGAGGGGAAGUCUGUGACUGAAACGGAGAGUGGCGGGGCUGUGAGUGGAAAGCAGCAGGGCAGGACUCCCCUGGCAGCAGCAGCCUGCAAAGCACUCCCUGAGCUGAAUCUUCUCUGAUUCACUGCCCUGGCCCGUGGGCAGCGGGACAGACCUGGGUACCACCUGUCCUGAGUGUCCCCGUGUCCUGAGUGUCCCCCUGUCCUGAGUGUCCCCCUGUCCUGAGUGUCCCCCUGUCCUGAGUGUCCCCCUGUCCCGAGUGUCCCCUGUCCCAUGGGCAGCAGGGCCGUGGCUCCAGGGACAGGGACGUGCCCCGUGGGCACAGCCACGUUCCCCAUCUCCCCCCAGGAGCCUUCCAGCAAAGGGAGCUGGCUGACAGGAGGGAGCCUUGGGCAGAUCUGCUUCGCCCAGCAGAGUGCCGAGGGAAGGGGAGAGGAAGAACCCCCAGGACACACCAAACUCCACUUGUUUUUCCUCCAGCAGAGACGUGGGUGUCAGCAAUCCCCCAGACAGGGACCCCUGGAUCAUUCGUGUGUCUGUGGAGCAGAGCUGCUGGCCCAGGCAUGCAGGGAUAUUUUCAGCAAUAUAAAAUGUAGAUUUGUUUUUUCCCAGUAAGGACUUUGUUAUCUUUGCUUCCCUUCCCAGCUGCCAGCCCAGCACACAGAGGCAGCUCCAUCCCCUGGGCACUCCAAUCCUGCUGCUGUGCCCUGGGGGUGGCAGGGGCUCAGGAGGGAUGGGACACGGGAGGUGAACACCAGCAGCACUGCCAGGAUCUCAGAGCAGCACUGCUGGAGCAGAGAGUUUGCUUCUCCUCUGGCUGCCUCUUGUUUCUCCUCCCUGUGCCUGAAUUGCCCAUCUCUGACCUGGGGCCACUGACAUGAGCUGCUUGUGGGGCUGAUACUGAGGCAGAGUGUGACUCCCAGCCCGUAAUCCCUGAAAAAUGCAGAUCCUGAGGGAAAAUCCAUCUCCAAAUCCAGACUGAAUGGCUUAGGCUAAUUGCUGGCCACUAUUAGCAAAAAGCACUGACAGGACGUGGUGUUCACAGCUUGUUCCAUAGGCAUUGCCUGGAAUGAACUCUCAUUUAUUUAAUGGAUAACUUGGAUUUUCCUUCAUUGGAGUGCUGG
ensembl:lncRNA